rnacentral:ncRNA from 1 species
UACCUGGUUGAUCCUGCCAGUAGUCAUAUGCUUGUCUCAAAGAUUAAGCCAUGCAAGUCUAAGUACGAGCUCUCGUACAGUGAAACUGCGAAUGGCUCA